CUAANACAUGCAGUCGAGCGAACUGAUUAGAAGCUUGCUUCUAUGACGUUAGCGGCGGACGGGUGAGUAACACGUGGGCAACCUGCCUGUAAGACUGGGAUAACUUCGGGAAACCGAAGCUAAUACCGGAUAGGAUCUUCUCCUUCAUGGGAGAUGAUUGAAAGAUGGUUUCGGCUAUCACUUACAGAUGGGCCCGCGGUGCAUUAGCUAGUUGGUGAGGUAACGGCUCACCAAGGCAACGAUGCAUAGCCGACCUGAGAGGGUGAUCGGCCACACUGGGACUGAGACACGGCCCAGACUCCUACGGGAGGCAGCAGUAGGGAAUCUUCCGCAAUGGACGAAAGUCUGACGGAGCAACGCCGCGUGAGUGAUGAAGGCUUUCGGGUCGUAAAACUCUGUUGUUAGGGAAGAACAAGUACGAGAGUAACUGCUUGUACCUUGACGGUACCUAACCAGAAAGCCACGGCUAACUACGUGCCAGCAGCCGCGGUAAUACGUAGGUGGCAAGCGUUAUCCGGAAUUAUUGGGCGUAAAGCGCGCGCAGGCGGCUUCUUAAGUCUGAUGUGAAAGCCCACGGCUCAACCGCGGAGGGUCAUUGGAAACUGGGGAACUU
rnacentral:rRNA from 2 species